rnacentral:rRNA from 1 species
AGUGAACGCUGGCGGUAGGCCUAACACAUGCAAGUCGAACGGCAGCACAGUAAGAGCUUGCUCUUACGGGUGGCGAGUGGCGGACGGGCGAGGAAUACAUCGGAAUCUACUUUUUCGUGGGGGAUAACGUAGGGAAACUUACGCUAAUACCGCAUACGACCUACGGGUGAAAGCAGGGGAUCUUCGGACCUUGCGCGAUUGAAUGAGCCGAUGUCGGAUUAGCUAGUUGGCGGGGUAAAGGCCCACCAAGGCGACGAUCCGUAGCUGGUCUGAGAGGAUGAUCAGCCACACUGGAACUGAGACACGGUCCAGACUCCUACGGGAGGCAGCAGUGGGGAAUAUUGGACAAUGGGCGCAAGCCUGAUCCAGCCAUACCGCGUGGGUGAAGAAGGCCUUCGGGUUGUAAAGCCCUUUUGUUGGGAAAGAAAAGCAGCAGGUUAAUACCCCGCUGUUCUGACGGUACCCAAAGAAUAAGCACCGGCUAACUUCGUGC